rnacentral:rRNA from 1 species
GACGUAGGGCGCGAGCGUUGUCCGGAUUUAUUGGGCGUAAAGAGCUCGUAGGCGGCUUGUCGCGUCGUCCGUGAAAACCCGGGGCUCAACUCCGGGCUUGCGGGCGAUACGGGCAGGCUAGAGUUCGGUAGGGGAGACUGGAAUUCCUGGUGUAGCGGUGAAAUGCGCAGGAUAUCAGGAGGAACACCGGUGGGCGAAAGG